CACCUGUUUAUCAAAAACAUUGUAUUAAGUUUAAUUUAAUAUAGGAUCUGCUCAAUGAUUUAUUAAAUAGCUGCAGUAUUUUGACUGUGCAAAGGUAGCAUAAUAAUUAGUCUUUUAAUUGAGGACUUGUAUGAAAGAUUUGAUGAGAAAUAAACUUUAUUAUUUAUAUAAUUAAAAUUUUAUUUUUAAGUAAAAAAGCUUAAAUUAUUUAAAGGGACGAUAAGACCCUAUAAAACUUUAUAAAUAUAAAUUUUAAUUUUUUUGGAUUAUAAAUAUUUUAAUUUUGUUAUUUAUUUUAUUGGGGUGAUAAAAAAAAUUAUUAAACUUUUUUUAAAAUUUUACAUUAUUUAGUGAGUAUUUGAAUUAAAAUUUUUAAUUAUAGGAAAAAGUUACUUUAGGGAUAACAGCGUAAUUAAUUUUUUAAGUUCAAAUUUAAAAAUUAGUUUGCGACCUCGAUGUUGAAUUAAGAUUAAUCUUAGGUGCAAAAUUUUAAGUUUUAGGUCUGUUCGACUUUUAAAAUCU
rnacentral:rRNA from 1 species